AAAGCUAAACUCUUCUUAAGGAAACGAAGGAUGCAUCUGUGACGAAGUCAACUUCAGAUAAUGGAUCAUUCGAAGUACUGUUGGACUUGGAAAGGCAUUCUUGUGAAGCUGAGCUCUGUGGCAUGCCAGUUAUUUGCUCUAAAAGAACUGCUGUUUGUUAGUUUACUGUCAACAAUUGUCCUCUAUAGUAAACAACCUUCUUCAAUCAAACAAUAUUAUCUUGCACGAUUGAAUCAACCCCUGGGACCAUAAUCAAGAAGCUAAGACAAGGAAAAGAAGUUAGAGUUGUUGGUUAGUUGCUCUAGUUAGUUAGCUGAUCAGUAGUU
rnacentral:misc_RNA from 1 species